UCUAAGUCAAAUUCACUCUCCUUUUCUUCUCAGUCUUGGAUUCGGAUCGGGUCCCAGCUCUUCUAUUCUUGAAGCACCCCUGCCCCCUAUACCUCUCAUCCUGCAGAGAAAUACUGCUGUACGCCAUGCCUCUUUCCAGCAAGACAGUAUUUUCUAGGAGCUUUGGACCAUGGGAGUUGGGAAGGUGAUCUGGCUCAGGGCCAUUUUUCUUCCAAGUGAGUAUCCAUAAGAUGAUGCAAUCCUUUCUGGUCCUUGGACAUGACCAUACUUCUCAUGGAAUCUUAUGGGGCAUCUGUUUUGAAUUGAAGUGUCUUCCUCAAAAAUAUGUAUUAAAGUUUAUCCAUUAUAUAUUGAAGACAGAUAUGAAGGUACCCCUCCCCCAUAUCUCAGAAUGUGACUUUAUUUGGAAAUAGGGUCUUUGCAGAUGUAAUUAGUUAAGAUGAGGUCAUACUGGAGCAUGGAGGGCCUGUAGACAAUAAGAAUAGGAUCUUCUUAUAAGAAGAUAAUAUAUGAACAUACGAGAUGAGAAGACCAUGCUCUGAGAAAGGCAGAGGUUAGAGUUAAUGCGUCUGUAAGCCCAGAAGUGCCAAAGAUUGCUGGUGACAUCAGAAGACAAGAAAAAAGCAGGAACAGAUUAUCUCCCAGAGCCUUUGAAAGAACCUGGCCCUGCUGACAUCUGGAUUUUGGACUUUUAGCCUCCAGCACAGUGAAAUAAUAAAUUUCUAUUGUAUUAA